rnacentral:lncRNA from 1 species
AAGAGACAGCGCCGCCGGCCGUGGGGAGCGGACGCAGUGAUUUGCUCCCCCUCGUGCAGCAACCCCCACACCCAGCACCAGGAGCCUGUUCCUCUCACGCCCUCACCUGGCUGAGCCGCAGUAGUUCUUCAGUGGCAAGCUUUAUGUCCUGACCCAGCUAAAGCUGCCAGUUGAAGAACUGUUGCCCUCUGCCCCUGGCUUCGAGGAGGAGGAGGAGCUGCUUUCCCCAUCAUCUGGAAGGUGACAGAAAUGGGCUGGGAAGGUCCGAACAGCAGGGUGGAUGAUACGUUUUGGGCAAGUUGGAGAGCCUUUGCCCAGAUUGGCCCAGCAAGGAGCGGUUUUAGAUUAGAGACACUGGCUGGAUUGAGGAGUAGAAGGCUCAAACAACCCAAGGCUUUCUGCCUCCGAGAUGUGGCACCAUAGUGCGGUGCCCUGUGGCUUCACCGCCCUACUUCCACCUCCGCCCAGCCUGUAAUGUUUAUAUAAGCAGCCUCAAGGACCAAGAACCAUCUGCGAAAGGACAC